CCUACGGGUGCAGCAGUGGGGAAUAUUGCACAAUGGGCGCAAGCCUGAUGCAGCCAUGCCGCGUGUGUGAAGAAGGCCUUCGGGGUGUAAAGCACUUUCAGCGGGGAGGAAGGCGUUAAGGUUAAUAACCUUGUCGAUUGACGUUACCCGCAGAAGAAGCACCGGCUAACUCCGUGCCAGCAGCCGCGGUCAUACGGAGGGUGCAAGCGUUAAUCGGAAUUACUGGGCGUAAAGCGCACGCAGGCGGUCUGUCAAGUCGGAUGUGAAAUCCCCGGGCUCAACCUGGGAACUGCAUUCGAAACUGGCAGGCUAGAGUCUUGUAGAGGGGGGUAGAAUUCCAGGUGUAGCGGUGAAAUGCGUAGAGAUCUGGAGGAAUACCGGUGGCGAAGGCGGCCCCCUGGACAAAGACUGACGCUCAGGUGCGAAAGCGUGGGGAGCAAAUAGGAUUAGAUACCCCUGUAGUC
rnacentral:rRNA from 1 species